AACGAACGCUGGCGGCAUGCCUAACACAUGCAAGUCGAACGAGACCUGCGGGUCUAGUGGCGCACGGGUGCGUAACGCGUGGGAACCUGCCCUUAGGCUCGGAAUAACUCCCCGAAAGGGGUGCUAAUACCGGGUAAUGUCUUCGGACCAAAGAUUUAUCGCCUUUGGUUGGGCCCGCGUUGGAUUAGUUAGUUGGUAGGGUAAAAGCCUACCAAGGCGACGUUGCAUAGCUGGUGUGAGAGGAUGACCAGCUACACUGGGACUGAGACACGGCCCAGACUCCUACGGGAGGGAGCAGUGUGGAAUAUUGGACAAUGGGCGCAAGCCUGAUCCAGCAAUGCCGCGUGAGUGAUGAAGGCCUUAGGGUUGUAAAGCUCUUUUAGCCGGGAUGAUAAUGACAGUACCGGGAGAAUAAGCUCCGGCUAACUCCGUG
rnacentral:rRNA from 1 species